rnacentral:rRNA from 1 species
GAUGAACGCUGGCGGCGUGCCUAAUACAUGCAAGUCGAGCGAACAGACGCGGAGCUUGCUCCUCUGACGUUAGCGGAGGACGGGUGAGUAACACGUGGAUAACCUACCUAUAAGACUGGGAUAACUUCGGGAAACCGGAGCUAAUACCGGAUAAUAUAUUGCACCGCAUGGGUCAAUAGUGAAAGACGGUUUUGCUGUCUCUUAUCGAUGGAUACGAGCCGCAUUAGCUAGUUGGUAAGGUCACGGCUUACCAAGGCAACCAUGCGUAGCCGACCGGAGGGGGGGAUCGGCCACACGGGAACUUAGACACGGUCCAUACGCCUACGGGAGGCAGCAGUAGGGUAUCUUCCGCAGUGGUCGAAAGCCUGACGGAGCAACGCCGCGUGAGAGAUGAAGGUCUUCGGAUCGUAAAACUCUGUUAUGAGGGAAGAACAAAUGUGUAAGUAACUAUGCACUUCGUGACGGUACCUAAUCAGAAAGCCACGGCUAACUACGUG